GCCCCCUCGCCUUCCCGUCCCGCUCCCUGCCCAGUGGGUCCCUGCCCACCCCGUGCGGCCAUGUGGCCCUGUUACUCCGCUUUGCUGCUGUCUUCAUGGGCACCACCAGCAGGCUCCUGGGAGGCCUGAGCCCGAGGACACCCCAGCUCUCUCCCCCCGGCUCUGAGGCCGGCGUCUCCCCGUCUGGGCCCCACUCCCCCGUCUGCCCCCGCUGGGCCGGCCAAAGCAGCCUCCUGCCCCACCCGGGGUGACUUCCCUGGGAUCCUCUUCCCUGCCCCAUCCAGUGGUCUCCUGUCUCCAAAUCAAUCUCCCAGGGCAGCGGUGCAGGGGUGUCUUCUGUCUCCUGUGUCCCCCCACGGCGAGCACAGAUGAUGCACGCAAUAGACCCUUGCUGUAUACACAGUGACUGGAGUCCUUCAGGGCACGCAGGGGGACUGAGCCCGCCGCGGGAAGGAGAGGCCAUUUCCCCCUGCAAAUGACGACCCGCCUGGCUCCAGGACGGCCCACGGUGCACACGCAGCUGCAGGGCGGGGUCCCUGCGCCCUGCCCCCCAGGAGGCUGCAGCGGAGGGGGCUCGGCGGCGGCACGAGUUUAGAAUGUUCCCAAGACUCCUGCGGAGAGAGACUCCGUCCUGGCCCGGGUCUAUUCUUAGCAGCGCUCACAGCCGGUCCCGGAGAAGGCUGGCUGUUCCGCAGCGUCUGGCUUUCUCCGUCCAAUCUUUGGUGGAACCUUCUGUUUCCGCCUUCAGGUGAAGAGAUUAAAACUC
rnacentral:lncRNA from 12 species